rnacentral:rRNA from 1 species
GACGAACGCUGGCGGCGUGCUUAACACAUGCAAGUCGAACGGAAAGGCCCUGCUUUUGUGGGUUUCUCGAUUGGCGAACGGGUGAGUAACACGUGUGUAACCUGCCCUUGACUUUGGGAUAACUUCAGGAAACUGGGGCUAAUACCGGAUAUGAUCUCCUGCUGCAUGGUGUGGGUUGGUAAGUUUCGGCGGUUGGGGAUGGACUCGCGGCUUAUCAGCUUGUUGGUCGGGUAGUGGCUUACCAAGGCUUUGACGGGUAGCCGUCCUGAGAGGGUGAACGGGCACCAGGGGACUGAGAUACGGAGCAGAAUGGAACGGGACGCAACAGUGGGAAGUAUUGCGCAAUGGGCGGAAGCCAGAGACAGAGACGCCGGGUGCGGAAUGAUGGCUUACGAGUGAAGAACAACUUUCGCAGGAAACGAGGAGUGAGUGACGGUAAUGGGUAAGAAAGCACCGGCUAACUACGUG